AACGAACGCUGGCGGCAUGCCUAACACAUGCAAGUCGAACGAGAUCCUUCGGGGUCUAGUGGCGCACGGGUGCGUGACGCGUGGGAAUCUGCCCUUAGGUUCGGAAUAACAGUUAGAAAUGACUGCUAAUACCGGAUGAUGACGUUAAGUCCAAAGAUUUAUCGCCUGAGGAUGAGCCCGCGUAGGAUUAGCUAGUUGGUGUGGUAAAGGCGCACCAAGGCGACGAUCCUUAGCUGGUCUGAGAGGAUGAUCAGCCACACUGGGACUGAGACACGGCCCAGACUCCUACGGGAGGCAGCAGUGGGGAAUAUUGGACAAUGGGCGCAAGCCUGAUCCAGCAAUGCCGCGUGAGUGAUGAAGGCCUUAGGGUUGUAAAGCUCUUUUACCCGGGAUGAUAAUGACAGUACCGGGAGAAUAAGCCCCGGCUAACUCCGUG
rnacentral:rRNA from 1 species